GGGCCCGUAGCUCAGUCGGUUAGAGCACACGCUUGAUAAGCGUGGGGUCGGUAGUUCGAGUCUACCCGGGCCCACCAUGUUUUGUGCUGAUGCUGUUUCGGUCUUUGACCGUUGCGGUUGGCACCUGUUGGUGUUCGGUGAGGUUUGUGGAAACGUUGAUCCGGUUUGUGGCUCGCAAGAGCUUAUCACAGAUUGGGGCUGUAGCUCAGCUGGGAGAGCACCUGCUUUGCAAGCAGGGGGUCAGCGGUUCGAUCCCGCUCAGCUCCACCAUUACAGCGUUUUGAGAAACGCCUCUGUGGGAGAUGCGGUGAGAUUGCGCAGAUUGUUCUGCUGCGACCACCGAUGGGCGACUGCCGUUUUUGUCUUUAAGAGAGAUACCCGUUUGCAUCGGCUUUAUGAGCCUGAUGCCUGUUCUGAUACAUUGUGAAGAGAAGAUAUGUCUGGAGGCUUCCAGGUGUUGUGAGCGAUUGUCGCAAGACGGUCGGUCAUGGCGUCCGAGCCCGGGCCCGUUUGAAACCGUAUGAAGGUCUAGCCGAUCCGAUGCGGUUGAGGGUUUGGGGUAGGUAGGGAGCCUGCAACUCAAGGCAUGGUCAUUGUUGCCGGUCCGUUAUUGUCGACGCGCUCCUGAAAAGGGGGUGUUGAUGAUGGGGGAUCGGUUCUGAUGGUUUGCCCGUGAGCGUUGCCUGACCGCGCGCUCUCAGACAUUAUCUCGAGAAGCUGGUCUUAAGAUCUGACCUUGCAGUGCACCGGCGUGCCUGCGGAUAAGGAUCAGAUCGAACACGUCGAUGGCAUCGUUGAAGAGGUGGAAGUUGUAAAAGGUAACUUCUGCUGUCGUUGCUCGCAUAUCGUUAGCGAGGAACGGUCUGUCUGACACACCUGAGAAGGUGUCCGGAUGGUCAGAUUGGAUAUCCCCUUCUUUGCUUUUGCUCCAACAGGGGCGCAAGCGAGGAGGACAGGUUAUUCCAAUCAACUAGAUGAUGAGCAUUGGCAAUGAGAAC
rnacentral:tRNA from 1 species